GGAUAAUUGGAAAGUCCCUGUGUGUCAACCUUUGUGCUUCGUGGCAAGGUAGACUAGCAAACAUGCCCAACCUUUACUCACAUUCGAGACAACACUCCCAACAAGAUUGCUUGCUCCAAAAUCGAAGAGGUACCGCCCUCCGAAUCUCGAGAGCCAGACUCCCAACAUGAUUACUUCCUCAAAAAUCGAAGAGACACUGCUCUCCGAAUCUCGAGAGCCAGACCCCCAGCAUGAUUGCUUUCUCAAAAAUCGAAGAGGC
rnacentral:lncRNA from 1 species